rnacentral:rRNA from 1 species
UUGACCUCGAAUCAGGUAGGAAUACCCGCUGAACUUAAGCAUAUCAAUAAGCGGAGGAAAAGAAACCAACAGGGAUUGCCCCAGUAACGGCGAGUGAAGCGGCAACAGCUCAAAUUUGAAAUCUGGCCCCUUGGGGCCCGAGUUGUAAUUUGCAGAGGAUACUUUUGGCGAGGCGCCUUCCGAGUUCCCUGGAACGGGACGCCAUAGAGGGUGAGAGCCCCGUCUGGUUGGAUGCCGAGCCUCUGUAAAGUUCCUUCGACGAGUCGAGUAGUUUGGGAAUGCUGCUCUAAAUGGGAGGUAUAUGUCUUCUAAAGCUAAAUAUAGGCCAGAGACCGAUAGCGCACAAGUAGAGUGAUCGAAAGAUGAAAAGCACUUUGGAAAGAGGGUUAAAAAGCACGUGAAAUUGUUGAAAGGGAAGCGCUUGUGACCAGACGUGGGCCUGUCGGAUCAUCCAGCGUUCUCGCUGGUGCACUCCGGCGGGCUCAGGCCAGCAUCAGCUCGUCCCGGGGGACAAAGGCAGCGGGAAUGUGGCUCCUUCGGGAGUGUUAUAGCCCGCUGUGUAAUGCCCUGGGGCGGGCUGAGGUUCGGGCAUCUGCAU